GAAAUGCGAUAAGUAAUGUGAAUUGCAGAAUUCAGUGAAUCAUCGAAUCUUUGAACGCAUCUUGCGCUCCUUGGUAUUCCUUGGAGCAUGCCUGUUUGAGUAUCAUGAAAUCUUCAAAGUAAAUCUUUUGUUAACUCAAUUGGUUUCUACUUUGGUAUUGGAGGUCUUUGCAGCUUCACACCUGCUCCUCUUUGUUCAUUAGCUGGAUCUCAGUGUUAUGCUUGGUUCCACUCGGCGUGAUAAGUUAUCUAUCGCUGAGGACACUGUAAAAGGUGGCCAAGGUAAAUGCAGAUGAACCGCUUCUAAUAGUCCAUUGACUUGUACAAUACUUUUAUGAUCUGAUCUCAAAUCAGGUAGGACUACCCGCUGAACUUAAGC
rnacentral:misc_RNA from 1 species